CAGCCGCCGCGGGAAUACGAGGGGGGCAAGCGUUGUUCGGAAUUAUUGGGCGUAAAGCGCGCGUAGGUGGUUUGGUAAGAUGGAUGUGAAAUCCCCGGGCUCAACCUGGGAACUGCAUCCAUAACUGCCUGACUAGAGUACGGUAGAGGGUGGUGGAAUUUCCUGUGUAGCGGUGAAAUGCGUAGAUAUAGGAAGGAACACCAGUGGCGAAGGCGACCACCUGGACUGAUACUGACACUGAGGUGCGAAAGCGUGGGGAGCAAACAGGAUUAGAUACCCCAGUAGUCCCUGUCUCUUAUAC
rnacentral:rRNA from 1 species